GGUAACAUUGCUAAAGUGAGAUGGUGGCUCAGUAGUUUGCACUGCUGCCUCAGUGCCAGGGACCUGAAUUCAAUUCCAGCCUGAGUCGACUACCUAUGUGGAAUUUGUGUGUUCUACCCGUGUCUGCAUGGGUGUUCGUUGGGUGCUCAGGUUUCCUCCCACAGUCCAAAAAUGUACAAGGCAGAUUGUUCCAUACAAAGUGCAUCAGGUAGCAGAACAGAAUGCAGCAUUGUCAUAACUGCAGAGAAUGUGCAGAGAGAGAGAGCAACAUUAACAUUUGAAAGUCAUGGGAAGAGCAGUUGCCACAUCGUGUUGUGAUGCAUCCGGAUAGCAUGCUUACUAUGGUGUAUCUAUCAAAAUUGCUUCAUUGAAAUAUCCAGCCACAGCAAAAGUCAUUGUCGCUGUUGUUGUGGCACAAGGAAGUUACAGAGAAAAAAAGGAAGGACAGAUGUACUAGAAAGCCCAGGACCAGCAGCAAACUCCAGUGGCUGCUGAUCAGCCUCCUAAUGAAGAAGUUAUAACUUUUUAAGGUCCCCUCAGGGCGUGCAGGAUGCUCAGAGUCUAUCAGCCUGAAUGACAUUUCCCCCAGGUGAAAGAGGUGCAUUGUUACUGCACACUGAGGAUGUCACAGGACGCUGUCACAAAAAUAUGUCGACUACUUGAAUGGAAUCUAUGACCUAACCUUGGCCAUCCUAUCCCAAUGGCCAAACUUUCAUGCAACUGACUGCUUCCAAGAAUGCACUGGAGACUUGUGUGGAAUCUCAUAACUUUUAACCCACAAAGAUAUCAAGUCUGUUAUCAAUGCAAUUAAUGCCAGAUGACACCACAUUAUCUCAUUCUUAUCUCGUGGCAAGCUCAGUCUGCAGACUUUGUUAACUUAGCUGGUCUGCCCCAUGUGCAGACUGUCAUGUCAUGUUGA